ACGAACGCUAGCGGCGUGCCUAAGGUAUGCAAGUCGAACGGGAGCUUCGGCUCCAGUGGCGAACGGUCGCGUAACACGUAGACAACCUGCCUCCAGGUGGGGGAUAACUCCGGGAAACUGGAGCUAAUACCGCAUGUGGCGGGAGAAGGCAUCUUCUCUCUGCUAAAGGAGCAAUCCGCCUAGAGAGGGGUCUGCGGCCUAUCAGGUAGUUGGUGCGGGUAACGGCCCACCAAGCCGACGACGGGUAGCUGGUCUGAGAGGAUGAUCAGCCGGACGGGGACUGAGACACGGCCCCGACUCCUUCGGGAGGCAGCAAUGAGGGAUAUUGCGCAAUGGGGGAAACCCUGACGCAGCGACGCCGCGUGGGUGAGGAAGUCCUUCGGGAUGUAAAGCCCUUUUGACCGGGAUGAUCAUGACAGUACCGGUCGAAUAAGCCCCGGCUAACUACGUGCCAGCAGCCGCGGUAAUACGUAGGGGGCAAGCGUUGUCCGGAUUUACUGGGCGUAAAGCGCGCGUAGGCGGAAGUGUAAGUCUGGCCUGGAAGCCCCCGGCUCAACCGGGGAGGGUGGCUGGAAACUGUGCUUCUUGAGGGCUGAUAGAGGAGUGUUGGAAUUCCUGGUGUAGCGGUGAAAUUGCGUAGAGAUCAGGAGGAACACCCGUGGCGAAGGCGGCCACUCUGGGUCGGCCCCUGACGCCUGAGGCGCGAAAGCGUGGGGAGCGAACGGGAUUAGAUACCCCGGUAGUCCACGCCGUAAACGAUGGUCACUAGGUGUGUGCGGUAUCGACCCCGCACGUGCCGUCGCUAACGCAGUAAGUGACCCGCCCUGGGGAGUACGGCCCGCAAGGUUGAAACUCAAAGGAAAUUGACGGGGGGCCCGCACAAGCGGUGGAGCAUGUGGAUUAAUACGUCCACUAACCGUAGAACCUUAACCCAGGCUUGACAUCUGGGGAACCCUCCUGAAAGGGAGGGGUGCUCGCAAGAGAGCCCCAAGACAGGUGUUGCAUGGCUGUCGUCAGCUUCGUGUCGUGAGAUGUUGGGUUAAGUCCCGCAAACGAGCGCAACCCUCACCGUCUGUUGCCAGCAUUGAGUUGGGCACUCUGACGGAACUGCCCGGGUAACCGGGAGGAAGGUGGGGAUGACGUCAAGUCAGCAUGGCCCUUACGCCUGGGGCUUCACACAUGCUACAAUGGUCGGUACAAAGGGUUCCAAGGACCGUGAGGUGGAGGUAAUCCCCAAAAAGCCGGCCUCAGUUCGGAUUGCAGGCUGCAACUCGCCUGCAUGAAGUCGGAAUCGCUAGUAACGGCCGGUCAGCUAAACGGCCCGUGGAAUACGUUCCCGGGGCCUUGUACACACCGCCCGUCACGUCACCUGAGUCUGCUGCACCCCGAAGCCGCUGGCCCAACCGCAAGGAGGGAGGCGUCGAAGGUGUGGCCGGUAAGGGGGACG
rnacentral:rRNA from 1 species